rnacentral:rRNA from 1 species
UUACGGCCGUAUCACGUUGAAACACCGGCUCCCGUAUGAUCACCGAAGUUAAGCAACGUCGAGCCUCGUUAGUUCCUAGAUGGGUGACCGCUUGGGAAUAUCAGGUGUUGCAAG